GACGAACGCUGGCGGCGUGCCUAAUACAUGCAAGUAGAACGCUGAAGAGAGGAGCUUGCUCUUCUUGGAUGAGUUGCGAACGGGUGAGUAACGCGUAGGUAACCUGCCUUGUAGCGGGGGAUAACUAUUGGAAACGAUAGCUAAUACCGCAUAACAAUGGAUGACACAUGUCAUUUAUUUGAAAGGGGCAAUUGCUCCACUACAAGAUGGACCUGCGUUGUAUUAGCUAGUAGGUGAGGUAAUGGCUCACCUAGGCGACGAUACAUAGCCGACCUGAGAGGGUGAUCGGCCACACUGGGACUGAGACACGGCCCAGACUCCUACGGGAGGCAGCAGUAGGGAAUCUUCGGCAAUGGGGGCAACCCUGGCCGAGCAACGCCGCGUGAGUGAAGAAGGUUGUCGGAUCGUAAAGCUCUGUUGUAAGUCAAGAACGGGUGUGAGAGUGGAAAGUUCACACUGUGACGGUAGCUUACCAGAAAGGGACGGCUAACUACGUG
rnacentral:rRNA from 1 species